CUUGCACCCCAAGGGGAUAUGUUGUGUCGGAUGAAAUUAUUAUCUUGUAACUCUUUGAUCUAUUUUCUCAAUUCUUUUAUUUUAAUAUGACUCAUUCGGUAUGAGACAACCGAGAUGAGUUGGGUGUGAGGUUGAAGAUCAAUGGCAAAUUUUACUUCUCGAUCUUUUGACAGUUUUAGUUGUUCAUCAGGGAAUACGUCCGAAAAAUUUUGAACAAUAAAGAUAUCUUAAAUGCAA
rnacentral:lncRNA from 1 species